rnacentral:rRNA from 1 species
UGACCUCUGACCUCAAAUCAGGUAGGACUACCCGCUGAACUUAAGCAUAUCAAUAAGC